AGGUCAAAACUAGCAUUUGAGCCCGCGCGAUGCCGCGGGUUGGAAAACUAUGUUAUACGUAUGACAUAAAAGCUACCUCUCAACCCAUGCCAAAAUGUUCCCAAUCAAGAUCAAUCACAAAUGUCACAGAGCAAUGCUCUGAUCAAAGCUUCUAAAAAGGAACAUAGCUAAUAAGAUGUAAUAACUAUCAAACUCGUAUAAAUAUAAACACACAUUCCAUUACAUUUCCAGUAAACUAAAACUCAAAAACUCUAUUUGACAUUGCAUUGUAAAUCCCCUUCUAGACCAGAAAAGAUAACCAUAUUUCCAAAAAAAUAUUUUAUACACACAAAUAGAUAAUCAGGUAAACAUAUUAUCCAUUGGUUUACCAUAUGUUUUCCAAAAAAAUAUUCAAAAUUUUCAUGUAAUAAAUUGGCAGGCGGUGCUGAAUACUAAAUUACGAAUACAAUUAUAUGUAAUGGGCAAAUGUGCCUUGAAGCUCAGAAAUACAAAAUACACAUAGCCAAAAACUCAGUAAAAAGCAAAGACUCGUUAACCCAUUAACGAAAAACAACAAAGAAAGCCUUUGGGUUACCAUCGUCGAAUGGUCUCAUUUGCCUUGAAAUGGGGGUACCGCCCGAGCUUGAAUUUUCAUGCUUGUGAAUCGUUAACCCUUCUAAGUGAGAGUUGACUUGGUUUCACAAUUCCAACUCGUGCAAUUUUGUACACCAUUUUGCACAGCCCUAAGAUCCUGUAUUACAAUUUGAAUUUCGCUUACACAUGCAUACACUACAAAAGUAGUACAAUGAUUUAAUACAAAGACUCUGACUUAUCACUUGCAGCCAUGUUUCCAAUUACUGCAUCUCUUUGUUUUAUUAAUUUUUCUUUAUAAUCAAACAUAAAUCACAAAGAUAGUUCAAAGACCAAAAAAAGAAAAAGAGAAAAUAGAAAAUCAUAUUGAAAACCCCUACCAAAGCACAUUAAUAAUCAAACAUAAAUCACGCAAUUUGAGAAACAAACCCCUGUUUGAGUGCUACCGAUCAGAUCCUGCCCUUGCAUUGCUGUUUCCACAGAGCACUCUCUACACAAAAUCCCAAAAAAAAAUUAAUACAUAGUAACCAACAAAUAAAAAAAAUCUUCUUUUUCAAUCAUUUUCUCAUAUGGGGAACAACCUGCUAAUACCCUUCAUGGCCAAAGCACUAAGAAUAAUUCAUAUAUGUUUUUCAAUUUUCAAAUCGCAUACAAAGUGGAAUAUAAAUCUUAAAACUUUUAAGCCAAAAACAGAUGCACUAUUUUUCCAGAUUCCCAAAGAAAAAAAAAAGAAAAGGCAAGUGGAAACACAAAUCUUGUGAAAUAAUUAUGAAUAUUCUAUAAAUAAUCACAUGCAGAUCAUUACCCGAUUAAUCACCAAAAGAUCACAACAAAAACCCACUGCUAGAAAUUGAAAGACAUAGCAUAUUAUCAGUUCAAGAUUAUAAAAAAUAAAAAUAAAAAUAAAAAAUAAAAAAUAAAAAAUAAAAAAAAAAGAGAAAAUUCACAACAAAGCAAGCCAAUGAACAAAACCCACGAAGAAAAUCUCAAAAUUCCAAAACCUGAAAAGGAUUAUGAAAACAAAGACGCACCCAGAACUAAGAGCUCAGUGGAAGCUCCGUUUACACAAAAGCUAUAACCAAAUGUAAAAUUUGGAUUUUUACAUUGUUUCUUCGUUUUUAACAAUAUUUGGGUUGCAAGUAUAUGGACGGUGGUAUCUUGGCUUCAAAUUUUGAAUUUGUAAAGGUUGCUGUCAUUUGAUACACAACUGUAAAAUUUGGAUGCUCCAGUGGAAGAUCAGGCUGCAAAUUCAAAAUUCAAAACACAAAAAUCCAAAUUAAACACAAUUCAAAAGCGAUUUAAUAGUUACCAACGAUAAAUCCACCAUGCAUCUAAUAAAAAAUACAAAAUUAAACAAAAAAAAUACAGAGAGAAGAAAAGGGUACCACAUAUUUGCAUGUCGCUGCUGCUCUUCAGAACCCACAAAAUUCGAGCCGAAAGAUGGUGGCGGCGGUGGUUCCGUGAGAGGCGGUGCCGCAGGGUGAGAUUUCUUUCGCUGCAGGUAUCUGCUGUCGUCCAAGAAAACCUGAUAGCCAUGCGCAAACACAGACGGAGAGAGAGAGAGGAGAACAGGAGUACAUCCAGACCUUUCCCUUCCCAGAGAGACAAAAAUGAAGUAGAAGAGUCCAGAAGAGGCAAAAUCGAACUACAAAAGUUUUAAACCCGAGAUUCAGAUCGCAUUUUUCAACCCCUAAAACCAAAUAGUACAUUUAACCGACUUAACACGAUGGAAGGCAUAAAUCAAAUCUAGGAUAUCAUACUCAACCUGCAUUGCAGAAACGAACACUGUAGCUUAUAUACAUUCUCAAUGUCCUCCGCAAGUCCUCUCUCCAAUGGCUCUGCAAUCUACAAAAGGUUUUUAGAAGAUUAUAAUUUUAAAACUGAAUCACAUAAAAUUUCUGAAAUUAGGUUGCUUCUUACCAGAGUUAUUUUAUUCUUCUUAUUGGAUGUUUCAGCAAAGCAUUUGAUUGACUUCUACAAACAAAAUGAAACAACAGGAUCAACCUACAAACAAAAGCAUAUCCAUCAAGAAAAGAACAUAAAAUUUUACAUUCUUAAGGGGUGGAAAAAUUACUUUAAAAAGAAAAAACGUCAAGAGAGGAUGAGGAUUGGGAGCAAACAAUUACCUUGACUUCUACUUCCAAAUAAAGCUCUCUUAGGUCCUUCAUUAUUCUGACAUACCCUAUAACACAUUAAUUUAUGUUAAAAAAACAUAAAAAUUAAGCACCAAAUCUUUCACUUCAAAUUCCAUAAAAAUCAAACCUCUGAAACAUAAAGUUAUUGGGCUUUCUCUUGUGAGGAGGAGUUCAAAACUCUCCCAUUGCAAUCCUCAUAGAGAAUCGCCACGUCAGCCUUGGAAAAAACUCGAAUCAAAGCAAAAACAUGUAAAAGAGCGGUGCCAUACCUGUGGAGCUCGAGCAUGGAAAGGCUCUGGUUCCAUGCAAAGGCUCUGGUUCCUUGCAAAACAAAAGAAAAAACGUUUACAAAUCUAGCUUUACAGAGAUGCACAACCAGUCGAACAACGGAUAUUGGAAACAAAAUCCCCAAACAAACGAAAACCAAAUUUGCUCAGGAAUCCGAUAGAACGAAAAACACAAACAAAUCAUACACCAAAACAACAGAUCUAACAAUAUAAAGAAAAUACCCAAAAUCAGAUUAAAAAAAAUUGAUCCAUAAAUCACCACAACAUGGCAAACUACCAGCAAAAUACUAAAACACAAUUAAUAAAAAACUUAAAAACUCACAAAC
rnacentral:lncRNA from 1 species